rnacentral:rRNA from 1 species
CACGUAGGGGGCGAGCGUUGUCCGGAUUUAUUGGGCGUAAAGAGCUCGUAGGCGGCCACUCAAGUCGAAUGUGAAACCUCGAGGCUUAACCUCGAGCCUGCAUUCGAUACUGGGCGGCUAGAGUCUGGUAGGGGGAUCUGGAAUUCCUGGUGUAGCGGUGGAAUGCGCAGAUAUCAGGAGGAACACCGGUGGCGAAGGCGGGAUCCUGGGCCAGUACUGACGCUGAGGAGCGAAAGCGUGGUAGCGAACAGG